rnacentral:rRNA from 1 species
UACGUAGGGGGCGAGCGUUAUCCGGAAUUACUGGGUGUAAAGGGAGCGUAGACGGCGAGGUAAGCCUGAAGUGGAAGCCCGCGGCCCAACCGCGGAACUGCUUUGGGAACUGUUUUGCUGGAGUAUGGGAGGGGUAAGCGGAAUUCCUGGUGUAGCGGUGAAAUGCGUAAAUAUCAGGAGGAACACCGGUGGCGAAGGCGGCUUACUGGACCAUAACUGACGUUGAGGCUCGAAAGCGUGGGGAGCGAACAGG